rnacentral:rRNA from 1 species
AUUGAACGCUGGCGGAAUGCUUUACACAUGCAAGUCGAGCGGCAGCGCGGGGCAACCUGGCGGCGAGCGGCGAACGGGUGAGUAAUGCAUCGGAACGUACCCAGUCGUGGGGGAUAACUGUCCGAAAGGACAGCUAAUACCGCAUACGUCCUGAGGGAGAAAGCGGGGGAUCGCAAGACCUCGCGCGAUUGGAGCGGCCGAUGCCGGAUUAGCUAGUUGGUAGGGUAAAGGCCUACCAAGGCGACGAUCCAUAGCUGGUCUGAGAGGAUGAUCAGCCACACUGGGACUGAGACACGGCCCAGACUCCUACGGGAGGCAGCAGUGGGGAAUAUUGGACAAUGGGCGAAAGCCUGAUCCAGCCAUGCCGCGUGAGUGAUGAAGGCCCUAGGGUUGUAAAGCUCUUUCAGUGGGGAAGAUAAUGACGGUACCCACAGAAGAAGCCCCGGCUAACUUCGUG